rnacentral:rRNA from 1 species
GGCCCAGAUCGUUUACCGUGAAAAAAUUAGAGUGUUCAAAGCAGGCAGAUCCAAUUUUCUGCCACCGAAUACAUUAGCAUGGGAUAAUGGAAUAGGACCCUGUCCUCCUAUUUUCAGUUGGUUUUGGCAGCGCGAGGACUAGGGUAAUGAUUAAUAGGGAUAGUUGGGGGCAUUAAUAUUUAAUUGUCAGAGGUGAAAUUCUUGGAUUUAUGAAAGAUUAACUUCUGCGAAAGCAUCUGCCAAGGAUGUUUUCAUUAAUCAAGAACGAAAGUUAGGGGAUCUGAAGACGAUCAGAUACCGUCGUAGUCUUAACCAUAAACGAUGCCGACCAGCGAUUAGGAGACGUUGAAUACAAAACACCACCAUCGGCGCGGUCGUCCUUGGCGUGUCUCGGCUUCACGGCCGGGGCGCGCGAGGGCGGUUUAGCCCGGUGGCACCGGUGAAUGACUCCCCUAGCAGCUUGUGAGA